AAGUCGUAACAAGGUUUCCGUAGGUGAACCUGCGGAAGGAUCAUUGACAAAUCUAAAACAGUUGCACUUGGAAUGAUGUGUUAGCAAUAGCAUGUCAUUUCUUGUCAACAACAUCCUAACCUGUGAAUCGCAGCACGCAAGUGUUGUUUGCUGCUGUUGUGUAGAGGGUAGUAACAAGUUUACUGCAAUCGCACAAUGGCGCAUAAAUUAACGUAACAAAUGUCUUAGAAAUCAAACUAAAUAUACAACUUUUAGCAAUGGAUCUCUUGGCUUCU
rnacentral:misc_RNA from 1 species